rnacentral:rRNA from 1 species
GGAGGAUGGGCCGGCCCAAGCAGGUCGGCUCCGCACUCCCGGGGCGUCUCGUGUUCAUUGCGAACUGAGGCGCACCUAGAGCGUACACGCUGGGACCCGAAAGAUGGUGAACUAUGCCUGGUCAGGACGAAGUCAGGGGAAACCCUGAUGGAGGUCCGUAGCGAUUCUGACGUGCAAAUCGAUCGUCGGAACUGGGUAUAGGGGCGAAAGACUAAUCGAACCAUCUAGUAGCUGGUUCCCUCCGAAGUUUCCCUCAGGAUAGCUGGCGCUCAAAUAUAUAUAUUGCGGUCGGUCUCUAUACGGGACGCGCAAAUUAAAGAGUUUCAUCCGGUAAAGCGAAUGAUUAGAGGCAUUGGGGUCGAAACGACCUCAACCUAUUCUCAAACUUUAAAUGGGUGAGAUCUCCGGCUUACUUGAUAUAUGUACCAUAUAUAUAUAUAUACACGUAUACAUGUGUGUACGCGCGUUACGCAAGUGAUGUGUGUAUGUGUGUGUUUGUGUGUUUGUGUGUGUGUGUGUUUGUAUGUGAAGCCGCGAGAAUUGAAUCAGAGUGCCGAGUGGGCCACUUUUGGUA